rnacentral:rRNA from 1 species
CCACUCAUUUAAAGAGUGCGUAAUAGCUCACUAGUCGAGAGAUCCUGCGCCGAAAAUGUUCGGGGCUCAAACUUACCACCGAAGCUACGGGCUUAAGUUAAACUUAAGCGGUAGAGGAGCGUCGUAAUCGGGCUGAAGUCGUACCGGAAGGAGCGGUGGACUGAUUACGAGUGAGAAUGUUGGCAUUAGUAGCGAGAUGUGAGUGAGAAUCUCACAGGCCGAAAACCUAAGGUUUCCUCAGGAAGGCUCGUCCGCUGAGGGUUAGUCGGGACCUAAGCCGAGGCCGAAAGGCGUAGGUGAUGGACAAUCGGUUGAUAUUCCGAUACCACUAUUAAUCGUUAAAACCGAAGGCGUAACGCAGGAGGAUAGGAUGUGCUAGCUAUUGGAUGCUAGUCUAAGCACUUAGGGAGUUCAGCAAGGCAAAUCCGGCUGAACAAUUCUGAGGUGUGAUGGGGAAGGAACUACGGUUCCGAAGUAUCUGAUUCCACGCUGCCAAGAAAAGCGUCUAGGGAGAGAGGUAGUGCCCGUACCGCAAACCGACACAGGUAGGUGAGGAGAGAAUCCUAAGGCCGGCGGAAGAAUCACAGUUAAGGAACUCGGCAAAUUGACCCCGUAACUUAGGGAGAAGGGGUGCCUACGCAAGUAGGCCGCAGAGAAUAGGCCCAAGCAACUGUUUAGCAAAAACACAGGUCUCUGCUAAAGCGAAAGCUGAUGUAUAGGGGCUGACGCCUGCCCGGUGCUGGAAGGUUAAGGGGAAUACUUAGCGCAAGCGAAGGUAUGAACUUAAGCCCCAGUAAACGGCGGCC